rnacentral:ncRNA from 1 species
UUAUGUAACUGGCAAACCCGGGGAAACCCGGGGACGCAAAGCCACGGAGCUAAAGAUAGGGGCUAUCUACGCUAGCCGGGCCGCCGAA